GAAUAACAGCACUUGUUACUUGUUUUGUUCUACUAGAUCUCUAGAAGACAAGCCUACUGAAGACCCAAAAGCAAGAAAUGAAGAAAAAAAAAAUUGAGGUCUAGGACAACCAAUAAUGUUCACCUGGUCAUUAAGUAAUCAUGGAACGAUACUCAACAUGCUUGGAUGUAAAUUUAAUGGGAGAAAAUAUCAUUUUAAGUUGAGUUGUUUUUGAUAGGAAAUCCGGGUCACUCUCCGAAUUCCCUAGCCCAAGACUGAAACUAAAUGAAGAUAGUAACUAAAACCAAUGCAAGCGAACAAAAUAUAUUAACGAGGUUCGGUCAAAACAGUUGACCUACGUCCUCUGGUGAUGGUGAUGGUGGAUCCACAAAACGAGAAGAAGAUUACAACUGAAGAACAAUACGGUUCUUCCACCCUCAAAUAACCUCUCUCCUCACACUCUAGAUUCUCAACAGAGAACUCUUAAAUCACCUAAACUCUCAAUGCUUGCAACUCUUAAAUACUCUAAACUCUCAAUUGAUCCACACCUAAAACUAUGUAUCUAAGGUCCUAUUUAUAGACUCUCAACUAGUCCGACUUACAAUAGGAUUUAGAACCAUAGCAGGAAUCCUAAACCUUUACUCCUAAGGAUAAACUCUAAGAAUCUUAGAUACACUAGAAUAACUUACCCAAAACCUUCAGAAGUAAAGAAUCCAAAACAGACAAGGAAUUAGUUUUGAGCCGUAAUCCUAACAAUUUCCACCUCGGCUCAAAAUCUCCAACCUUCCACUAAACGCAAGCUUCCUUGGGUCUUCUCAACGAGCCAAGAUCACCAUCACACCUCAAUGCGCCACAUGGCGCCCUCAACAGCAAGACGAGUUAGCCAAGUUUGAGAAACAUUCAAACUUGACCCUUGGACACGAACUCUUUCCCUCAAACAUGCACAGCGCAGCCACUUGCAUGCAAUCCAAGUCUCCACUAAAGUUGCCAAACCUAAUGGGAGCGAUCUGCAAUGGUUUGCACAACUCACCACGAGCAACAUUCCUCUGAACAUAUUCUCCACCAUGAACGAUAUCUUCUCUAGACGCAUUACUCUUAAAACACCAAGUUUGCUUCUCAACUUUCUCAUUACUCUUUGAAGUAGGUGACACCUCAAUUUUGGAAUAUGCAUGAGCUAGCAUAUCUCCACCACAAACUUGUGUCGGGAUCCUUAUGGGUCUACCUCCCUUUAAGGACUGCUGCAAUGUUGGUUGCUCCUCAAAUUUCACGUUCUUAGAAGCUGAUUUCGUUCCUCCGCAUUUACUACUGCUCAUCUCCCUUGAAUGCCAAUAGGAACCAAGAUUGCCAAUCUUUCCACCUCGAACAAAACUCUUAACGGAACCACAUGUUCCACCUCGAACAAAGCUCCCUUCUAAACGAUAGAGACCAUUUACCUUCUUACCCUUCAUUACUACGAUUGCCCCCUUCAAAACUUUCAUAUUUCCAUCAUGACCAACAAUCUUGUGGCCUACCGAAUCUAAAGUUCCCAAAGAUAUCAGAUUCCUAUCGAACUUAGGAAUAUGGAGAACAUUCUCUAAACUCCUCACUGAUCCAUCAUGUACCUUAAUUUUGAUUGUUCCAACACCAGCAACUUUGUAGGUUUGUGCACCAACCAACCUCACUAGACCUCCCUUCACAGACUUGUAGGAAGAAAACCAAUCCCUAUUGGGACACAUGUGUUCAGAACAACCAGUAUCCAAAAUCCACUCAUCAUGUGGCGUCUCUAAACAUGAUGUGACCAUGAGCGCAUCUCCAUAACAUUCUCCAUCAUCUCACUUGCUACCAUUGCAGUAGUAGCUCUCUUUGACUUCAAUUUUGGACAAUUAUACCUAAUAUGCCCAAAAUCAUGACAGUAAAAGCACUUCUUAUCUUUGUCUCUAUCUUGAUCUCUAAAACUCCUCCACUUUGAUCUACCAUCUUCCUCUUACAAGCAAAGCAGAUGUGGUCGCAGACGACUCUUCAUCAUCAUUCUUCUUCCUCCUAGUUUCCUCACUCAAUAGGGUAUCUCGAACUUCGUUGUAGACCAACUUAUUCUUCCCAGCUGAACUGCAAAUAGAGUUGACAGUAACAUCCCAAGUAUCUGGCAUGGAGGUCAGCAACACCAACGCCUUGAGGUGUUCUCCAAUUAUGAUAUCCACAGUAGCCAAUUGUUCGACAAUAUCGCAAACCGCUGCUUGUUGUCUUCGCACAGAGCCACCUUUGGCCAUCUUCAUUGAAAACAACUUCCUCAAUAAGUGCACCUGCUCAACGGCGCUUGGCUUCUCAAACAUCUCUGACAGGGUAUCCAUUAACCCUUUAGUAGUUUUCUCAUGUAUCACAUCGCGCCGAACUUCAUUUGAUAGCGAUAGUCGAAUAGCUCCUAAAGCUUGAGUGUCAAGCUCCUCCCAAUCCACAUUUUUCAUGCCCUGCGGCUUAACUCCAAGCAAAGGCUUGGACAACUUCUUCACAUUCAGAUAGUCAGUUAUCUGAGACCUCCACAUAACAAAAUCAUGUCCGUCAAACUUGUCAACCCUUUUCUCGACGUCUUCAAUCCCUGCCAUCUUUCCGCUCAGCUCACGGAACACAGGCUCUAGAUACCACUUUGAUAGGAAAUCCGGGUCACCCUCCGAAUUCCCUAGCCCAAGACCGAAACUGAAUGAAGACAGUAACCAAAACCAAUGCAAGCGAACACAAUAUAUUAACAAGGUUCGGUCAAAACAGUUGACCUACGUCCUCUGGUGAUGGUGAUGGUGGAUCCACAAAACGAGAAGAAGAUUACAACUGAAGAACAAUACGGUUCUUCCACCCUCAAAUAACCUCUCUCCUCACACUCUAGAUUCUCAACAGAGAACUCUUAAAUCACCUAAACUCUCAAUGCUUGCAACUCUUAAAUACUCUAAGCUCUCAAUUGAUCCACACCUAAAACUAUGUCUCUAAGGUCCUAUUUAUAGACUCUCAACUAGUCCGACUUACAAUAGGAUUUAGAACCAUAGCAGGAAUCCUAAACCUUUACUCCUAAGGAUAAACUCUAAGAAUCUUAGAUACACUAGAAUAACUUACCCAAAACCUUCAGAAGUAAAGAAUCUAAAACAGACAAGGAAUUAGUUUUGAGCCGUAAUCCUAACAGUUUUGUUUUUCGCAAUUGGUUUAGGUUCUACAUCCUUUACCUAGAGCAUAAUUUUUUCAGUCAAUUAUUGAAGACGAUGUAACUAAUCCUGAGAAUAAAAAUGAAUGAAUAACGAAAAAGAUUACAGCUAAGGAAACAUGCAAAUGAGAAAAAAAAAAAAUCCAAAAGGCAUGCAAGAACAAGAUUAUCAGAAGACUUACUCAU
rnacentral:lncRNA from 1 species